rnacentral:ncRNA from 1 species
CUUAGCGCCAGAACCUUGCAGCUGCUGUCAAGGGUGACGAGGUGAAGAGUUAUCGAAAAUUCGGCGGAUGCUCUUCCGUAUUGCUGAGUGCGUAUAUUGGAGCAAAUAUGAGGGUAACUUCAAAACAAAUAU